GACGUCCGUGGGGCACCGAUGCCUGGGAUUACUGCACGGGGUCGCGCCGUGGCGGAGCAGCCUCCAUCCCUGUGAGAUCACUGCCCUGAGCCAAUCCCUACAGCCCUUACGGAAGCUGCCUUUUAGAGCCUUUCGCACAGAUGCCAGAAAAAUCCACACUGCCCCUGCCCGAACCAUGUUCCUGCUGCGUCCCCUGCCCAUUCUGUUGGCGACAGGCGGCGGGUAUGCAGGGUACCGGCAGUAUGAGAAAUACAGGGAGCGAGAGCUGGAGAAGCUGGGAUUGGAGAUUCCACCCAAACUUGCUGGUCACUGGGAGGUGGCUUUGUACAAGUCAGUGCCAACGCGCUUGCUGUCACGGGCCUGGGGUCGCCUCAAUCAGGUGGAGCUGCCACACUGGCUGCGCAGGCCCGUCUACAGCCUGUACAUCUGGACGUUUGGGGUGAACAUGAAAGAGGCCGCUGUGGAGGACCUGCAUCACUACCGCAACCUCAGCGAGUUCUUCCGGCGCAAGCUGAAGCCGCAGGCCCGGCCUGUCUGUGGCCUGCACAGCGUGGUGAGGCCUGACCCUUUCCUCCUGCAGGAAACAGGACUUUUUCCUGCCUCCCCAGCACAGCCCCCCCGGUCUCCAGCGUAUCUGGAAGGGGCAGGAUGACAAGGGGAGGUGGGAGCUGUCUCCUGGGGGGAGGAGACCCUGCUCUCCCUGGCAGCAAGCCUCUCCUGCCCUUCCAGAUUAGCCCAUCGGAUGGAAGGAUCCUCAACUUUGGGCAGGUGAAGAACUGCGAGGUGGAGCAGGUAAAGGGGGUCACCUACUCCCUGGAGUCGUUCCUGGGCCCGCGUACCUGCACAGAGGACCUGCCCUUCCCACCAGGUGGGUCACUGCACAGGCGGGGCCAGGCAGCCCUGCUGCUGUGUGGCUGGACCGGGAGGGAGGGGAAUGCUGGGGAAGGAACUGAGGCUGGCAUGUGGGGCCUCCCUGAGAAUCCAUGUGCAGACCACACUCGGGCUCCGUGCUGGGUGCUCACUGUGUUGGUGGCCCCCACGUCUGCUCCUACUCCACAGCUGCGUCGUGUGACUCCUUCAAGAACCAGCUGGUCACCCGGGAAGGGAAUGAGCUCUAUCACUGUGUCAUCUACCUGGCCCCUGGGGACUACCACUGCUUCCACUCCCCCACCGACUGGACUGUGUCCCACCGGCGCCACUUCCCAGGCUCCCUGAUGUCAGUGAACCCUGGCAUGGCUCGCUGGAUCAAAGAGCUCUUCUGCCAUAACGAGCGGGUAGUCCUGACGGGGGACUGGAAACAUGGCUUCUUCUCACUGACAGCUGUGGGGGCCACCAACGUGGGCUCCAUUCGCAUCUACUUUGACCGGGACCUGCACACAAACAGCCCAAGGCACAGCAAGGGCUCCUACAAUGACUUCAGCUUCGUGACGCACACCAAUAGAGAGGGCGUCCCCAUGCGUAAGGGCGAGCACCUGGGCGAGUUCAACCUGGGCUCCACCAUCGUGCUCAUCUUUGAGGCCCCCAAGGACUUCAAUUUCCAGCUGAAAACAGGACAGAAAAUCCGCUUUGGGGAAGCCCUGGGCUCGCUCUAGAGUCUCUUUCCUGAUUAUGGCUGCUAAGGGAUCUUUUCCAAACAGAGUGAGGGUCUUUUCAAGAGGGAGGCCCAUGGGGCCAUCCAGGUGAGGGCCUGCCUCAGCGUGGGUGGGAGUCUGACCAGGUAGGACUUGAAUGAUUCGGCUCCACCUGUUCCAGAGGUGCA
rnacentral:sRNA from 1 species